rnacentral:rRNA from 1 species
AUCAACGCUGGCGGCGUGCCUAACACAUGCAAGUCGAAACGAGAAAGUCCGCAAGGAUGAGUACAGUGGGCGACCGGGUGAGUAUACACGUGACUAACCUACCUCCGAGUGGGGAAUAACUCCGGGAAACCGGAGCUAAUACCGCAUAACAUCGCAAGAUCAAAGCAGGCAAUGCGCUUGGAGAGGGGGUCGCGGCUGAUUAGCUAGUUGGUAGGGUAACGGCCUACCAAGGCGAAGAUCGGGUAUCCGGCCUGAGAGGUGCGCACGGGCACACUGGAACUGAAAACACGGUCCAGACUCCUACGGGAUGGCAGCAGUGGGGAAUUUUGCGCAAUGGGGGAAACCCUGACGCAGCAACGCCGCGUGGAGGAUGAAGUCCCUUGGGAUGUAAAACUCCUUUCGACCCGGACGAUACUGACGGUACGGGUGGAAGAAGCACCAGGCUAACUCUAUGUGCCAGCAGCCGCGGGUAAUACAGAGGGUGCGAGCGUUGUUCGGAAUUAUUGGGCGUAAAGGGCGCGGUAGGCGGUGCUGGUAAGGUCACCUGUGAAAUCUCCUGGCUCAACUGGGAGCUUGCAGGCGAAAACUGCCGUGCUGGAGUGUGGGAUGAGAGGUGCGUGGAAUUCCCGGUAUGUAUUGUAGCGGUGAAAUGCGUAGAUAUCGGGAGGAACACCUGUGGCGAAAGCGGCGCACUGGACCACAACUGACGCUGAGGCGCGAAAGCUAGGGGAGCAAACAGGAUUAGAUACCCUGGUAGUACCUAGACCCUAAACUAUGGAUGCUUGGUGUGUAGCGGGUACCCAAUCCCGCUGUGCCGAAGCUAACGCGAUAAGCAUCCCGCCUGGGGAGUACGGUCGCAAGGCUGAAACUCAAAGGAAUUGAUGGGGGCCCGCACAAGCGGGUGGAGCAUGUGGCUCAAUUCGACGCAACGCGAAGAACCUUACCUGGGCUCGUAAGCGCAGUGGAAUCCGGUGGAAACAUCGGCGCCAGCAAGGGCCAUGCUGCGGAGGUGCUGCAUGGCUGUCGGUCAGCUCGUGUCGUGAGAUGUUGGGUUAAGUCCCGCAACGAGCGCAACCCUUAUCGUUAGUUGCCACCGGGUCAAGCCGGGCACUCUAGCGAAACCGCGUAGGAUAACUGCGAGGAAGGUGGGGAUGACGUCAAGUCCUCAUGGCCUUUAUGUCCAGGGCUACACACGUGCUACAAUGGUCGGUACAAACCGUCGCAAACCCGCGAGGGGAGGCUAAUCGGAAAAGCCGGCCUCAGUUCGGAUUGGAGUCUGCAACUCGACUCCAUGAAGCUGGAAUCAGCUAGUAAUCGCAGAUCAGAAACGCUGCGGUGAAUACGUUCCCGGGCCUUGUACACACCGCCCGUCACAUCACGAAAGUGGACUGCACUAGAGGCCGGCGUGCCAACCGCAAGGGGGUAGCCGUCCAAGGUAUGGUUUCAUGAUUGGGGUG